rnacentral:rRNA from 1 species
CCAAUAGCGUAUAUUAACGUUGUUGCAGUUAAAAAGCUCGUAGUUGAACUUCGGGGUCUACCCAUUGGUCAGGCUUAAUUGUCUGUACUGGUGAGAUGGAUCUCUACCUUCUGAGGAACUUUCAUGCCAUUUAUUUGGUGUGGUUGGAAAUCAGGACUGUUACUUUGAAAAAAUUAGAGUGUUUAAAGCAGACUAUCGUCUGAAUACAUUAGCAUGGAAUAAUGAAAUAGGACGGACUGAUUCUAUUUCGUUGGUUUCUAGGAUCACCGUAAUGAUUAAUAGGGAUAGUUGGGGGCAUUAGUAUUCAAUUGUCAGAGGUGAAAUUCUUGGAUUUAUUGAAGACUAACUACUGCGAAAGCAUUUGCCAAGGAUGUUUUCAUUAAUCAAGAACGAAAGUUAGGGGAUCGAAGACGAUCAGAUACCGUCGUAGUCUUAACCAUAAACUAUGCCGACUAGGGAUCGGACGAAGUUAAUUUUAUAAUGACGCGUUCGGCACCUUACG